rnacentral:rRNA from 1 species
GAGGGAAGAGCUCAGUUUUGAAAUCUGGCAGUGCUUUUAACUGUCCGAGUUGUAAAUURAAGAGAAUGUMAUCCACGCUGGACCACAUCUAAAUUGUAAUGAUCCACAGUCCUUUGAUGGAGUAUCAGAGAGGGUAAUAAUCCCGUCUUUAAUGUGGACUACCAGUGUUUUAUGUGAUGCACUCUCUCAGAGUCGAGUAGUUUGGGAAUGCUGCUCUAAUGGGAGGUAAACUCCUUCUAAAGCUAAAUAUUGGCGAGAGACCGAUAGUGAACAAGUACCGUGAGGGAAAGAUGAAAAGAACUCUGAAAAGAGAGUCAAACAGAACGUGAAAUUGCUGAAAGGGAAGCAUUUGGAGUCAGAUGCGUCUUCAUUGUCAUACCACCUCAGUGGCAAGAGGCUGAGUGUUGGUUACUUGAGGACGGGCCAGCACUCACGUAGGCCAUUGGAAAAGGGGUCAUGGAAUGUAGCUCAAGUUUGUUGAGUGAUUAUAGCCUUGAUUCAUAUACAAUGUGUCCUUUAUGUGUGAUUGAACAGCACAGGUCUUUUGACUUGGUGCUUGAUUGACUGGCAUAAUGGCUCCMAGUGACCCGUCUUGAAACACGGACCAAGGAGUCUAACAUGUAUGCAAGUAUUAGAGUGAUUGAAACUCUGAAUGCGGAAUGAAAGUGGUCUUGACUGAGAAUCCCCCCCCCUGGGAGGCAUCAGUACCCCCGAGUCUGUCAGUCUUUUGACUGAAGAUUUUGGAGGUAGAGCAUAUAUUUUUGGGACCCSGAAAGAUGGGUGAACUAUUGCUUGAAUAAGGGUGAAGUCAGAAGGAAACUCCUGAUUGGAAGG